ACUGUGGAUUAUGAUAUAUAACUAUUUGCAUCAUGCAUCAUUGCCGGCUUUUCUAUUAUCUUCUGUGUGAUUUGGGAAUAACAUCUUGAUUAUGCGGAAAUCAGAACUAGGAAGCUGAUAAAAAAGUUUUCAACACUGUAGAUUCUCUUUUGACUUUCACGGAAUGUAUGCCUCUUUGAGUAGCCUUAUGAAAAUAAUCAGUUUCAUAUGUGGCUUAGUUAGGGGGCGGACAUCAAUCGGAACCAAAUUAGCUUUUGGGGUCCUUUGAGAGAGGCCUCUUGAAGGGACUCUCUAGUCUCAUAUUGAUUAUCACUCAAGGAGCCUUUCACAUUUUGUCUAACUUUUUUAUUCAAGUGUACAUUGGAUUGAAAAUUCUUGCAGUUUCAUAUUUUAAUUUGUUGCUUAGUAUAGGACUAUUCACUUCAUUGCCUGCUUUUCUAUUAUCUGCUUUGGGGUUUAGGAAGACCUACUAUUUUCUGCCGAUGGAAAAAGUUUUCAGCAACAUAAUUCUCUUAUAGUGAAGUUCUUAACCAAGUAAUGUAACCUAUGCCUCUUUGAGUAGCCCUAUGAAAAUAAUCAAUUUCAUAUGUGGUUUAGUUAGGGGGCGGACAGCAAUUGGAACCCAAUUAACUUUGGGAUCCUUUGAGAGAGGCCUUUUGAAGGGACUCUGCAAGCUCAUUGAUUGUUCCUCAAGCAGCCUUUCACAUUUUCCCUACCUUUUUUAUUCUUAACAAGGCUACAAUGGAUUGAAAUUUCAUUUUUGCGGUUUCGGAUUAUAAUAUGUUGCUCUGUAUAUGAUCAGUUGACUAUAUGAACCCACCAAUGCAGGUAAGUUUCCAACAUUAGUGACACAUCAGGAAUCCUUAGAGUCAAAAGUUAAUGAAACAAAAGCAAUGGUGAAGUUUCAACUUAAGAAAGUUCUUUGCAUGGGUGUUGCUGUUGGAAAUUGCUCAAUGGAGGAGAAACAGAUAUUCCAGAAUGUACAACUCAGUGUCAAUUUCCUUGUUUCAUUAUUGAAGAAAAACUGGCAAAAUGUGAGAUGCUUGUACCUCAAGAGUACAAUGGGGAGUGCAAUCCGCGUAUUUUAGAUUGUUUAGAUAUGGGUAGUUUGCAUUGGCUAAACCUCAUGAGUUGUGGACAUGUUAACGGGAUGUUAUUGCUGACAGUUAAUGCCCCCAUUUUUUUUUUCUGACAUUCUUAAGAUUCUUUGAUAUCAAUUGUUUUAUGAUAAUCCUUGUUUUCUGUGUCAUUAAUGACUGGCCACAAAAGAUUCAUAGAUGUAUUUGGUUAUUUGAAUUUUAUUCCGUGUUAGCUUUUUAUUUU